CAACGCAUUCAAAAAACCAACCUUGAUGUUUUGAAAGUAGAAUUGAUUGUUUGCAUUAAUAAAAUUUCAUCAAUUUUGUUGGGAUCGAAUCUGCCACACAACUCACGGACUGCUUUCACAAGCUCACUCGAAUCUGGACAAAAUUGCAUGUGACCCAUGGUGGUACUGGAUGCGCCGGUUGAUAGGAGUGGAGUGGUGGUGAUCCGCUCUCGAAAUGGUGGCCAACGGCGGUGGAAAUAUGGCUCAAACCAUGACUGGUAGCGUGAUUUUGGGUGAUAAUUGGGGCUGUUUUGGGCAACUCCGUGGCCAGUGAUGACAAGAGAUUGAAGAGGGAGGUGAGGGGGUUCGAAUAGUUGUGAAAUCUGGUGUUCUAGGUGGCGGGUGGUGGUCGAUUGUCGUGGAAGAAGGUAGCAGGUUUGCUUGGUUCUUUGCUCUCACGCACA
rnacentral:lncRNA from 1 species